rnacentral:lncRNA from 13 species
GACUGAGUACUUGGAAACACUCGUGCUGGGCUGCUACCACACAUUCCUCAGUCCUGCAGGGUAACUACUGGCAUCAACCACCAAGGGAUGUGCUGUUCCUGCACUGAGAACAGCACCACUAAAGGACGCCUCGGGCAGAAGAAGGUUACAUGUUACAUGAAAGGAAGACCUGAACCUGAGAUGGAGCUUUGAAAGUCACAAAAGGUUUGGAAUGCAUGAAAAUCAACCUGAGGCUCCCUUUCUUCCCCUUUCAGAAGCCCAAGAAAGUGUCUGGACCAGAAGGAAUAUGUUCCAUUGCCACUGCCGCAUCCCACUGGAGGAAUGAAUGUGCCAAGGUAGAAGAUGCCAUUGAGAGACUGGGAGCAAGAGGAUCAGAGCACCACGCUCCCUGGAAAAGCAGAAGCCUCACAUCAGCACUGAAGACACAUCCGUUUCAAUCUGACCCUUUUUCUACUUCCUCAUGCAGAUUUAAGUCCCUGCUUUUCCAGCAUGCUUCAUAUUGA